rnacentral:rRNA from 1 species
UACGUAGGUGGCAAGCGUUGUUCGGAAUUAUUGGGCGUAAAGGGCGCGUAGGCGGUCUGUUGCGUCCGCUGUGAAAACCCGGGGCUUAACCCCUGGCUUGCAGUGGAUACGGACAGACUAGAGGUAGGUAGGGGAGAAUGGAAUUCCCGGUGUAGCGGUGAAAUGCGCAGAUAUCGGGAGGAACACCGGUGGCGAAGGCGACUUUCUGGUCUGUAACUGACGCUGAGGCGCGAAAGCGUGGGGAGCAAACAGG